rnacentral:misc_RNA from 1 species
CGAGUACUAAUCGACAUAGGCAGGUCAAUCAAUCUUUUCACGAAGGAAGUGGUGGAAAAGCUCAAGCACAAAGAAGAAAACCUAACCAAGGUCAUGUAUCCUUUGGUUGGCCUAGGAGACAAAACAGUUCUAGCCCUUAGAAUUGUAAACCUCACUAUAGUACUAAGUGACAAUGGGCACAAAAGGGAAAUCUACAAAGAAUUCACAACAAUCAACAUUCCUUUGUCCUAACAUCAUCCUCGGCCAACUGAUCCUAAAUGACAAUGACAUAGUAAUUAGCAUGAAAUGGCUAUGCAUGAAGCUACCAGCCCCAGGAGGAAUAGUGGUGGUACGAGGAAGCCAAAUGUCAGUACGGGAAUGCUACAAAAAAUCAACAGAGGUAGUAACAGAGGUGACCUUGCCAAUUGAAUUGCUUGAAAAGCCAGAGAGCCAAAUCUCACCCUAACCAAUUAACUCAAUAACAGAAGAACUAAAUGAAGGAAAGAAAAUAUGCCUUGGAACAGCACUCAAUGGAAUAAGCAAGGAAGCAGUCAUCCGAACACUUAAAAAUAGAAGAAAGACAUUCGCUUGGAAGGUAAAGGACAUUAAAGGAGUAGAUCCAACAAUAGUAACCCACAGGCUGAAUGUCAACCCUGAGGCCAAACCAGUCCAACAAAAGAAGAGGCGAUUUGUAUUAAAACGUCAGCAGGUAAUUAAAAUAGAAAUUAAAAAAUUAUUGGAUGCAAGUUUAAUCCGGGAAGUAAAAUACUCAACCUGGAUAGCGAAUGUCAUCUUGGUAAAAAAGGCAAAUCGAAAAUGAAGAAUGCGCGUCGACUAUACAGAUCUCAACAAAGGAUGCCCAAAUGACCAUUACCCACUUCCGAGCAUCGACAAAUUAAUGGACACAAUAGCAAGACAUGCAGUAGUAUCGCUAGUUGAUGCAAUAUCAGGAUAUCACCAAACACGAAUGGAUUUACAAGAUGAGAAGAAAACUACUUUCCUUACAAACUCAGGAGUGUACUGCUAUAGAGCAAUGCCCUUUGAAUUGAAGAAUGCUAAAGUAACGUAUCAAAGACUCGUGGACGAGAUGUUUAAG